GGGCGAUGACGGGUAGCUGGUCUGAGAGGACGACCAGCCACACUGGAACUGAGACACGGUCCAGACACCUAAGGGUGGCAGCAGUCGAGAAUUUUUCACAAUGGGGGAAACCCUGAUGGAGCGACGCCGCGUGGGGGAUGAAUGGCUUCGGCCCGUAAACCCCUGUCAUUUGUGAACAAACCUUUCCACCGAACAAGUGGAAAGCUGAUAGUAACGGAAGAGGAAGGGACGGCUAACUCUGUGCCAGCAGCCGCGGUAAUACAGAGGUCCCAAGCGUUGUUCGGAUUCACUGGGCGUAAAGGGUGCGUAGGUGGCCGGGUAAGUCUGAUGUGAAAUCCCGGAGCUCAACUCCGGAACGGCAUUGGAUACUCUCCGGCUGGAGGGUCGGAAGGGGGACUGGAAUUCUCGGUGUAGCAGUGAAAUGCGUAGAUAUCGAGAGGAACACCAGCGGCGAAGGCGAGUCCCUGGACGACUCCUGACACUGAGGCACGAAAGCUAGGGGAGCAAACAGGAUUAGAUACCCUGGUAGUCCUAGCUAUAAACGGUGCAUAUUUGCUGUAAAAGGAAUCGACCCCUUUUGUGGCGAAGCUAACGCGUUAAAUAUGCCGCCUGGGAAGUACGGUCGCAAGAUUAAAACUCAAAGAAAUUGACGGGGGCCUGCACAAGCGGUGGAGUAUGUGGCUCAAUUCGAUUCAACGCGAAGAACCUUACCUGGCCUUGACAUGCAAGUGGUAGAACCAUGAGAGUGGGACGACCCCGCAAGGGGAGCUUGCACAGGUGCUGCAUGGCUGUCGUCAGCUCGUGUCGUGAGAUGUUGGGUUAAGUCCCGCAACGAGCGCAACCCCUGUGUCCUGUUGCCACCCAAACGAGAGUUUGGAGCACUCUGGACAGACUGCCUCAUCUAAAUGAGGAGGAAGGUGGGGAUGACGUCAAGUCAGUAUGGCCCUUACGGCCAGGGCUGCACACGUACUACAAUGCCCGGCACAAAGGGAAGCAAGACCGCAAGGUGGAGCAAAUCCCCAAAAACCGGGCCCAGUUCGGAUUGUCGUCUGCAACUCGACGGCAUGAAGCUGGAAUCGCUAGUAAUGGCGCAUCAGCUACGGCGCCGUGAAUACGUUCCCAGGCCUUGUACACACCGCCCGUCACAUCAUGAAAGCCGCUUGUACCCGAAGUCGCCGUGCUAACCGCAAGGAGGCAGGCGCCGAAGGUAUGGGUGGUGAUUGGGA
rnacentral:rRNA from 1 species